rnacentral:rRNA from 1 species
AUGUCACCUCCCAUCUACACGACGGAGCUUGAACUCCGACGAGCACAGGCGCUCCGGGGUUGGCUCGGGACUGCGCGGGAGCACGCUAGGGCGAGCUGUGAACGGUCCUGGAGCAAGGCGGGGUCACGGGCUGGUCCGCAAGGGCACUUGGAGUUUGUAGAGCAGCCGGGAAGCUCGCCGGCGACAAGGAGGCUUGGGAUUCACCAGAGCGACGACCUCGUCGUCCACGGCGGACGUCGGAGCAAGGUGACGCUGACACGGUGGCUCGGGAAUGAAGGGCUCCGCAGCGAGGGGUCCACAGGGUCUUCGAGGAUGAACAGGCGGAUCCCUUGGACAAGGCUACAGGUCGUGGGGUUCCCGUUGGCCGCCUGCAUGACGAACAACACCUGGGCGGACGACCAUGAUUCCCGCGGACCACGUCUUUGUCGCGUGGCAGAGAGAAAAGAGGGUGCGCGGGGGAGGGGGGGCGUGGACCGGAUCGACGAGGUCAUAAGGGGUCGGAGCCGUGCAGCACCUCACCCCGACGAGGCUACUGCUAGUUGCCAUUCUCUCCUCUCGCCGCCCGUCGCCACACAGGCAGCACCACAGCGGCUAAGGCUUAGCAGCGGCUCGGUCUCGUGCGGCCAGCGCAACUGCGGCAAGAACCCUACCGCCUUGGGUUGGCUUGGCUUGGCCCUCCCCGUCCAGCUUCGACGGAAGGCUGGAUGUGGUGGGGAUGGGUUUGAUCCCUUGCCCGUGGACUUGGGAGGUACAAGUAUUUUCUGGAAAGCUUUUAGCCCCUGUAUCAUAAAGCUAUACGGUGGGCAGCAUGGUGAUCAACAUGGGGAAGCUCUCACUUCCUCCCUUAUUCAUCGAUUCGUUGGUAAUGGAAACUACAAAUUGUCUUCGAUGCAUAAAGUGUACGGAUGUCGAGACCUCCCGGAGAUGGCUAGUGUGCUUUCCACGUGCGCCUUCUUUCUACUCGUCCUCAGCCUGCAAGGCUUCCAUGCCACGUUGCCACUGAGAUCCAGUGAGGUGCCUAGUAUGCAAAUGAACUAUGCCAUCAAGCUUUCCUACCUGUCCUUUGCACCCCUACUCUUCCAGGAUGUAAUGGCCAUAUUCCUAUACAUCAUCUCAGAGUUGGUGUACGUGAAGUUUGGUGAAAAGAACAAGGUGGUCAUUUUGCUGGGCAAAUGGAAGAAAUCCAGAUAUUUUGGGCAAGCAGUUCCAGUCAGUGGCUUAGCCUACUACGUUACUACACCACCAACCUUGGCUGAAGUAGGAAGACACCCAUUCCUCACACUGGUUUAUGCGCUGUGGCAGCUUCUGGGGUGUGGCCUUACGUCAUUUAACCUUUUCAGUGUUUGUUCACAUUCAGAGCUGUACGUUGGCAGGUUGCUUGGGGAGCGACGAAAUGUAACAGUCGCCCAGCCGGACUCUGUUCCUCUGCAGCUAUGGAGGUGCUAUGUAGGCAAGGCAGCGUUUCUUGUAGGACUCUGCAUUGGUGCACUUACGCUUCUGGCAGGCCUUGCUGGCGUGGUCGGCUCUGGCACCGGGAUCAUGUUCGCCCUCACUGUCUUGUACUCGUGCUUGGAAGAGACCAGUUAUAGAGGAGGGCCAGCUGGUGCCUUUGGUUUCUAA